rnacentral:lncRNA from 1 species
AACAAAGUAUAUGUAUUGAUUUAAAAAUGAAAAACAGAAACAUUCCAAAUAUUUACAAAUUAUUUCUUCUGCUACUUACCCCCUAGGUAACAGAGAAAUGAUCUGUGUUGGGUAAGAGACUGUAGAUUGUGAAUAAUUUUAAGGUCCAAUGCAGCUCUGAAUUCCAGACCCAUCCAACUUCUCAGAUGUCUAGCAGAGUUUAUGUAAGUUUUGACUGAGUUAAAUACCAAUAUAUUUUUGUUUGACAGCAUGACCUAUACAUUGUGGGCAAAGAGUUCUUGCACUCUUCUAGUAAUCUCAUUCUAUGCUUUUUCAGUCUGUUUACUUCUCCCUGAAAUGAUCAUGACCUUCUGCCAGAUUUUCUUGAAGGUUAUGCUAAUCUUUAUUGGCAAGAGAAACAGUAGCUGGAACAAAAAAAGUGAAAGAGAAUGCCACAUGAGAAUGAACAGCAUGCAGAGCGUGAGAAGUUUCUGCAAUAGCUGGAACUGGAGCAGCUUUGUCAGCAUGCAGUCCCUGGAGCAAAUAUAG